UCUUCUUUUGUUUCACUUUUGUUUCACUUUAUUAUUAUUAUUUUCAAUUUGCUGUUUUCACGAAGGAAAUAUGUAACCGUUCAAUUGUGGAUGUAAACAUCGGACAUCAAUCUGACUCACACGUGUUGGAAUUGACCUUACGACAGCGGCUUCUAAGCCACGCCCCCUGAUAUCAAGGGAGCGAACUCUGUCUAUGUCCGUCAAACAAACGAGGAAGUAAUGGCGUCUCGCGUCGUUUCACUUUCCGAUAUUCCUGACAAAUUAUCAUAAAUGUGACAUUACAAUGCGAAAAAAAUAGAAGUCAAAGGAAUUUGUAACUGGCUGCUACAUCGGAAGGCUCGAUAUAUCUUUAGAAAAUGACGAUAUCUAACAUUUACGGGGUGAAAUCUAUCCAAGUCAGAGGAAAUUGGAUAGCCGCCAUGUUGUCAAUAUUGACAUCGAUACAAAGGAAAAGCGUGUGUGUGACGCAUACUGUAAAUGCAAACAAGGGUAAGUUUAACUUUUAAUAACACCGGUCCUUCUUACAGUAUUGUUGAAACAAAGAUUAAAUCAUCGCACAAUAUGAGUGAAUCAUAAACGGCCCGAAUGGGGAACCCGGAAGUGACAUUAAAUAACAGUUACAUGCCAGCUAUACAGUAUAACCUUGUAUUCUAUAGUAUGAGCAGAAAUGGUUUAUUGGGGUUAUGCAUAAAAAGUUUCAGUUCUAAGCGAUUGAACACUCUCCCUAAUGAAUAAUAAUGUAAUAGUUGACAAGUGACAAUCGUGGGUGAUACCAAUCUGUAACUUUUGCAUUGCUCAAACAUUCACAUGCUUUGAUUUUUGUUCUUACAGAAAUUGUGGCUGUAAAAGUAGACCUGGGAGGAAAAGUGCCCCCGGUGUGGGGCUCGAACUCACAACCACCAAAACACUAGCCCGGCACUCUAACCAACUAAGCUGACCAGGCAGCUGGUUCUAACCCACACACACUACCCUCCCCCCAUUUACCGGUUAAGGCUGGUGGAGGGUCUCCUGCUAUUUACCGUUGACACCAUUAAAGUAUUCUGAUUGUCUUCAACAAGCCUACCGCCACAGGAGACCUAGCAUAAGACCGGGAAACCGCCCCCCCCCCACACACACACACGAUAUUUGCCAGUCCAGGCAAUGUCAACCGCAAGAGAAAACCAGUGAUGACAAGUUUUACAAAUAAUCGGAAAGUGUGGUCUUUUGAAGAGAGUUCUUGAAGUUGUUCAGCAUGUUGUUUUGAUGGAUUCUUGGAAGGAUGUACCUCUAUGAUGUUAGCUCCAGUUCUGGAAUAUAACACCAGUUGUUGCAUAUUUAAUAUCAGAUUUAUUAAAUACAUUGUUGUUUUGCAAACAUUACUUAAACUUUGAUAUUUCUUUGGUGUUUAUGUAUGAUAUUGUAGGUGAAUAUCUCUUUAUUGCAAUGGCAAAUAUAUUUUAAAAUAUAUAGCAUUAGCAGAAGUUAUUUUUCACUGUUAAAGCUGCACUUUCACAGAUUGAUCACUUUGACAACUUACACAGGAUUCGAUUGCAUUUAUCAUAUUUUGGCUCGGAGAAGUUUGCUUUGUGAUUUAUAUAUUAGGUCUUAAUUUAAAGAAUGCCAAAAUAAGCCGAUUCUGAGACAAAAAGUGUCAAACUAGAAUUCUGUGAGAGUGCAACUUUAAGAAUACUGUUAAUCGAGUGUGCAUGUGAUCCGGACUCUGAACAUUGGAUGAACUAUCAUUAAAUAUUGUAGAUUUACGUAAAUGGCCCAAAAUAUAAGAAUAACAAUGAAAAUAUGUA